rnacentral:rRNA from 1 species
UACGAAGGGGGGCUAGCGUUGCUCGGAAUUACUGGGCGUAAAGGGCGCGUAGGCGGCACUGUUAGUCAGGCGUGAAAAGUCCUGGGCUCAACCUGGGAACUGCGCUUGAUACGGCAGAGCUAGAGGAUGGAAGAGGCUCGCGGAAUUCCCAGUGUAGAGGUGAAAAUUCGUAGAUAUUGGGAAGAACACCGGUGGCGAAGGCGGCGAGCUGGUCCAUUACUGACGCUGAGGCGCGACAGCGUGGGGGAGCAAACAGG